UUAAAAAUUGCAAGAACUUGAACUUACUCGAUUAUUAAAUAUUGCAAUUAACGAAUGCGCGAUUAUUUACAGUUCGCUGGUAUUGGAUAUAUGCCAGUAUCUCGGAAAACGUACAGGCUGCAGGUUCACUCGCACUCAACAAAAUGAUGAUGAUGAGCUCUAAAUUUUGCGAAUAAUCUGUGCAACUUUAAAUCACCACAUUGGAGCGAUCGCCGCAUCCUGGGAUCCGAUCAAAUAUAUACUUCGGAUUAAAUAAUCUCGCUAUAAUGAGAUGGAACCAUGGUCGAAAUACAUCUACGGCAAACUUCGAGAUGAUAUGAACGUGCGUAGGACAUAAAUUCGUAUGUUGUCAAAUCUGAUAAUGAGAGAAAUGAUAUGCGUGAAGGCACAGAUUUUGUAAUUUGCGUCAUCGAUGAGACUGAAUAGAUACGUCGAGAUACGAAGAAAUUCUUCAUUCAAUUUUCUUAAAAAGGCAAUGUCUUAUACAAUAUAGUUCCGGAUAUAUUGUUGCGCUUAGUAAAUCUUCAAUUAGGAGAGGAGAAGGAAGAAGAGGAUGGAGAAGUGGAUCCAGACGCGGAAUGUGGAAGAGGGGAUCUAUUUUUAAUAUUAAUGGAAACAAUAAAUUUUAAUAAAUAUUGUCUAAUAAAAUAUA